UGGGGAAUAUUGGGCAAUGGAGGAAACUCUGACCCAGCAACGCCGCGUGAAUGAUGAAGGUCUUCGGAUUGUAAAGUUCUUUUCUAAGGGAAGAAGAAAGUGACGGUACCUUAGGAAUAAGCCUCGGCUAACUACGUGCCAGCAGCCGCGGUAAUACGUAGGAGGCAAGCGUUAUCCGGAAUGACUGGGCGUAAAGGGUGCGUAGGUGGUUUGGCAAGUUAGUAGCGUAACUCCGGGGCUCAACUCCGGAACUACUACUAAAACUGUCGGACUUGAGUGCAGGAGGGGCAAUUGGAAUUCCUA
rnacentral:rRNA from 1 species